UAGAGAGACAAACUUUCGUCUUUGCUUGUAACUUUUCAGGUGAGCUUUGGAACGAGAUCAUAAAUGUAUGAAGCAGAAGGACAUCAGAAAUGUGUGGCAGUUAGCAAGGACUGCAGGAAGAACAAUGUGUCACUUCUUGAGUGUCCAAGGCAAGUCCACAGGACAGGUUGGAGUAAGACCAUGUUUGUCACAGCAAGAAGAAGGAACAGAUGAACUCGAUACAUACUUUCCUGUUUCUCUGUCAUGGUAUUUACUUUUUAAAGAACGAGGGAAGAGCAACACAGGAAAUAUCUCAUACAAAUAAAA